rfam:Canis lupus familiaris chromosome 11, whole genome shotgun sequence.
AUCCACGCUGGCUUUACACUAAAAUUGAAACGAUACAGAGAUUAGCAUGGCCCCUGCGCAAAGAAGGAUGACACACAAAUUCGUGAAGCGUUCCAUAUUUUA